rnacentral:rRNA from 1 species
AGCGAACGCUGGCGGCAGGCCUAACACAUGCAAGUCGAACGAAGUCUUCGGACUUAGUGGCGGACGGGUGAGUAACACGUGGGAACGUGCCUUUAGGUUCGGAAUAACUCAGGGAAACUUGUGCUAAUACCGAAUGUGCCCUUCGGGGGAAAGAUUUAUCGCCUUUAGAGCGGCCCGCGUCUGAUUAGCUAGUUGGUGAGGGAAAGGCUCACCAAGGCGACGAUCAGUAGCUGGUCUGAGAGGAUGACCAGCCACAUUGGGACUGAGACACGGUCCGAACUCCUACGGGAGGCAGCAGUGGGGAAUCUUGCGCAAUGGGCGAGAGCCUGACGCAGCCAUGCCGCGUGGAUGAUGAAUGUCUUAGGAUUGUAAAAUCCGUUCACCGGUGAAGAUAAUGACUGUAGCCGUAGAAGAAGCCCCGGCUAACUUCGUGCCAGCCGCCGCAGUAACAC